AUGAACGCUGGCGGCGUGCUUAACACAUGCAAGUCGAACGAUGAAGCCCAGCUUGCUGGGUGGAUUAGUGGCGAACGGGUGAGUAACACGUGAGUAACCUGCCCUUAACUCUGGGAUAAGCCUGGGAAACUGGGUCUAAUACCGGAUAGGAGCGUCCACCGCAUGGUGGGUGUUGGAAAGAUUUAUCGGUUUUGGAUGGACUCGCGGCCUAUCAGCUUGUUGGUGAGGUAAUGGCUCACCAAGGCGACGACGGAUAGCCGGCCUGAGAGGGUGACCGGCCACACUGGGACUGAGACACGGCCCAGACUCCUACGGGAGGCAGCAGUGGGGAAUAUUGCACAAUGGGCGCAAGCCUGAUGCAGCGACGCCGCGUGAGGGAUGACGGCCUUCGGGUUGUAAACCUCUUUCAGUAGGGAAGAAGCGAAAGUGACGGUACCUGCAGAAGAAGCACCGGCUAACUACGUG
rnacentral:rRNA from 1 species